rnacentral:rRNA from 1 species
UACGUAGGGACCGAGCGUUGUCCGGAAUCAUUGGGCGUAAAGAGCGUGUAGGCGGCUUGCUAAGUCUUGCGUGAAAUCUCGGGGCUCAACCCCGAGCGGUCGUGGGAAACUGGCAGGCUAGAGUGCGGGAGAGGAGAAUGGAAUUCCCGGUGUAGCGGUGGAAUGCGUAGAGAUCGGGAAGAACAUCAGUGGCGAAGGCGGUCUGCUGGGCCGUUGCUGACGCUGAGGCGCGGCAGCGGUGGGGAGCAAACAGG